GCUUAUCUGAACGUAAGUAAGAUUCGAACCUGCAGCAGGUUCGGGUCGAGCCAUUUAUGGCGAGACAACGGAGCCGCUUGCGGCGACGGCCCGAAAGGCGAGCGAAGCGAGUCAUCCUGCACGACCCACCA
rnacentral:sRNA from 1 species